rnacentral:lncRNA from 1 species
UUGUAUCAAGGCUCCACACGCCCGGGUGCUAAGGACACGCCCGUGUCCCGAACUCAUGUCCAAAACCUGGACAAAUACAAGGCUAUUUUCCAAGCCAUUUUGUCACUCUCACAACACAUGCACGCAUACUUAUACAAUAGCAUACAACAUGGCAAAAUUAGGCACUUAAACCUUCCUAACAUGACAUGACCAUGGUAAUUUCACAUGCAACCAUUACAAUAAGUUUUUCUUUCAUCUUUACCAUAUUAAUGCUAUAGCUAUCAACAUGUCAUCAAACCUCAUGUCCAUCACAAAGCAUGCAUAAUCAUAUCCACAAACCAUUCAUGAAGCAUUAUUAACUAUUUACCAAUCACUUAAUCCUGCAUUAGUUAUUAGCUCAUCAAUGAAUCUCAAUUCAAUCUCUAGGCAUACAUGUUGUACGCCACAUCAUAAGAGAUAAUAACAUACAUGCAUAAGAAUAAUCAUAUGGGCCCAUAACGAUAUUAGCCGACAUAGGCCAAUUUACAUGACUAAUACUACCUUAAUAACAAGCCAAUGCCUUUGGCUAAAUCAUAAUGUUACAUACUCACAUUAAAACCCUAUACAUGUUAUAGACUAGAAUCACUUGAGUUUACUUACGCCGAUAGCGUUAACUCGACAGUGUGAUAAUAUCUCUGACGGCCUCCAACCCGAGCUAAUCUGGAAACUCUAGAAAACAUGGGAAAGAAGAGGGGGUAAGCUUUCGCUUAGUAAGUUCAUAUGAAAACAAUAAGCAACUCAUUAACUUGUUUUUAUCAAUGUUUACAACAUAUUCUCAAGUUCACUACAAGCCGUCUUUCUGAGCAACGGUCACUAAAUUAUUUAUAUCUGGAGCUACGAAACUCUGAAUUAAGUUCUGUUAAUUUUCCCUAAAACUAGACUUAUUUUCCUUUCUUCCAUAAAAUUUCUAGAAUUUUUUGUUAAGCCAAAUAGUAUAGUUUAUUCCUCAAAGUUACCCCUGAUUCACUGUCUGACAGUUCCGACCUCAAUUAUCUCAUAGUACAAGACUCGAAUAAUGUUCUCGUCUAUUUCUCUUGAAACUAGACUCAUAUUUCUACUUAAUAAUUUUUUUCUAGAAUUUUUGGUUGGGCCAAUUAGUACAGUUUAUUAAUUAAAGUCUCCCCUAUUUCAGGGUAUGACCACUUUGACCCCUGUGCACUACAAACCGAAUUUCUCCCUGUACAAAAUUCCAACGACCAUACCAUUUAUUUCUCCUAAAAAUAGACUCAAUAAGGAAUCCAUGCAUGUAAGGUAUGACUCUUAAUAAUUUUUGUACAAUUUUUGGUGAAUUUCUAAAGUCAGAAAAGGGGACCUCUAAUUUAUUCAGACCCUGUUUCACAAGAAUUCAAAUAUCACACAAUAUGGAAUUCUUUUUCUUCCCCUGUUUCUUUCAUGUGAAAAUAGACUCAUUAAUCUUUAAUCCCAUAUUUUAUUCUGUCUCUAACUCAUUUUCCACUAUUUUUAGUGUAUUUUAAAAGUUACACUACUGCAGUAACUCAAAUCUAUCAAGGCUAAAUUACUCAUUCAUGAUCAUUGUUCACAAAAUUAAUACAACAUCGUUUGUAUAAUCAUCACCGAGACAUUCAUAUCACAUUUUCAUUUACCAUCUUACCAUAUUGUUGUUAUGUCGAGUUUUCAACCCGAGGGUUAAGUACAUACCUGUUCAAAGUAUCCAUUUCACAACCUUUACCAAUACGUCCCUUUCAUCUCGAGUAUUCCUCCAUUUGAGUAGAAUUUUACCCGUUGAACACAUCGGAAUAUAAUUCGGAUACAUGGAAAGUUUGCACAUAAGUGCCACAUAUGUAGCCAAGCUACCAUGUAACCCGCCCAUAAGUGAACUCGGACUCAACUCAACGAGCUCGGGCGUUCGCAUCCAUAAGUGAACUCUGACUCAACUCAACGAGCUCGGAUGCCUAGUUACAUCUCACGAACUCGAACUCAACUCAACGAGUUCGGAUGCUCAACCAUCCUAGUGACAUGUCACUUGUAUCCUAAUCUAUUCCUAAGGUUCAAACGGGAUUUUCCUCGAACACAUAUCCUUGCCAUCUUCCGUAAAAUACCGAAACCAAUACUCGGUAGCACUUUAUAUUUAACAGAUAAUACACAUAACUUGCAUUUUAUUCGAAAAUAACCACAAAGCAUAUAUUUCAUGAUAAAAAUCAACAUAUCAUAUAUUUAACAUCAAUAACUUAAAAAUAACAAUUAUGCUACAUUAUUUACACAUGAACUUACCUCGAUACUACAAAGGUGAAAAAAAAAAGACGUAAUUAUCCCUUAAUCGAUUUCUUUCUGUUCUAGGUCCAAAUCUCGAUUUUCAUCAUCUAAAAUAUCACAUUCAACUUAUUAAAACAAUGUACUGAUCAAAUUAGUCCAUUGACACACUUGGGCAAUUUUUUACAAUUUUUCCCUUAUAUUUUGCCAAAAUUACCAAAUUAACCCUAGGCUCGUAAAAUAAUUUUUAUCACAUUUCUUUACUCCUUGAGUCUAAAUGAACCGUUUUCAUAACUAUAGCAACUCAUAAUUUCAACUAGUUCACACAUUUACAACUCAUUUUACAACUUAGCAAUCUAGCCCUUUUUAAGGUGUUUUCAUGUAAUUUCUUUCACAAAAGUUGUUUAUUAGACAACUAGGACUCAUAAUCUUCCAUAAAAACACAGCAAACAACACAUUUACUCUCAUGGCAAAACCCUAGACUCUUCAUCAUUUUGCAAAAUAGUCCCCUCUUAUGAAAGCUCAUGCUUUAGGGGUUCCAAAAAUGUAAAAAUCAUCAAGCAAAGACAUUAAAAUCACUUACAAGCAAGGGAAAUAUGUUGCUGAAAUUUUCCAGCUUCAAAGCCCUUUCUUUGCUGCAUAUUUUGGUGAAGGAGAAGAGAAAAAUGAUAGCUUUUUCUUUUUGAUUUGUUAAUAAUAAAACUAGUCAAAAUUGGUGACCAAAUUUCACCUAAUUUUGACUUUUCAACAAUUUUGUCUCCCAUGGCCGGCCAUCACACUUUCAAUGGCCUAAUUUCACUUUAAAUACCCCCAAUUUAAGAUACAAGUCAAUUUAACACCUUUAGGUAUUAAAACACAACUUUUACCUUUUACGCGAUUUAGUCCUUUUUCAAAAUUGGACUAGAAAUUGCUAAAAUUAACUUACCAAAAUUUACAUGCACUUAUAAAAUUAUAUUAUAACACAUAAAAUAAUAUUAAAAUAAUUUUCUCUAGCCUCGAAAUAGUGGUCCCGAAACCACUGUUUCGACUAGGCCCAAAAUCGGGCUGUUACAAGAAAUAUACUAUAUAUAUAUUAUUUAAAAUAUACAUGAAGUGAUAAAAACAUAUAUAAGUAACUAGUAAUGUUAAAGUAUAUACAUAAUAUAUACAUAUAUAUGUAUAAAAUGAAUAUUGAAAAUGUAUGUACAUAGCAUAUAUGAAAAAUACAAUAUAGUAUUCGUAUGAAAUGUAGAAAUACAAUAUUAAAAUGUAAGCACACGUAAUACAUAAAAAAUACAUAUAUAAUAUGUCACUAAAAUUGUAACACCCCUUACCCGAGACCGUUGCCGGAAUCGAGUACGAGGCAUUACUUAGCUUAUCUUACUAAUUCGGGGCAUAAAAAUUCGUUUUAAAAAUUAAUUUCACUGUUUACAGUAAUCUGUCCAAUCGCGCAGAAGUUACUAAAUUGAUUAUAACUCGAGAUACGGAACUCCAAAUUUAAUUUCGUAAAUUUUCCCUGAAACUAGACUCAUAUAUAUACUCACCAUAAAAUUUUUAGAAUUUUUGGUUCAGCAAAUUAGUACAGUUUAUUAGUUAAAGUCUCCCCUGUGUCACCACCAGACUGCCCUGACUUCUAGUCACUAAAAAUAAGUUUUCUCACUAUAGGAUUUUCAUAUGAAGUUUUUACUUGUUUCUAUAGAAAAUAGACUCAUUAAGGAAUCUAAGCAUGUAAAUUUCAACUCAUAACCAUUUUUGUACAAUUUGUAAUUAUUUUCUAAACUCAGAACAGGGGACUCCAAAAACAGUUCUGACCCUAUCUUACUAAAAUUCACAUAUCUUAAAAUAUAAAUUUCUUUUCUCUACACCGUUAUUUUUUCAUGAAAAUAGACUCAACAAUAUUUAAUUCCAUAUAUCAUUCACCCUCUAAUUCAUUUUAUACUAUCUUGGGUGAUUUUUCAAAUUCACGUCGCUAUUGCUGCCUGAAUUCUGUUUCUUUGCAAAAUUUUACCAUUUUAUGACUUUCAUACCUAAUUUAUCACUUAGACUUUUAUAACAAUAAUUAACUUCAUCCUUGACCAUUUAAACAACCAUUCAUCAUCAAAUACUUACACAUCAUUCUAUAGUAAAAUCAUAUUUACAAAUAUACAAAAUUACUAAAUUCCUAUACAUGCCAUAACUAAAAGAAAUGUUCACCACCACAAUUAGCUCAGAAUCGGCUUUGGAUGCUGAUUCAACAAUCCGACUUUGACCUAACCUGCGCACGGAAACAACCGUACGCUGAGUAUGGAAAUACUCAGUGGUAUUACCAUAAUUCGAAUUAAUAACAUUAAUCGAUAAAUUAUAUACAUUUUAUUUAUGUCUACAAUUAUUCAUUAAUUAUCUCAUGCAUUAAAUCAACUUGAUAAUUAAUAACAAUAAGCUAUAAUUCAAAUCUUGUAUUUAAUUGUAUUCAUACCUUAUUUCACUAUCUCAAUUCCAUUGGAUUUUUCUUUACAUCUCAUUCCAAUAGUUCAUUUCAAUUCAUAUACAAUUCAUUUCAUUUAAUUUAUAUUCAAUAUAAAUUUUAUUGCAAUUUGUACUCACUAAUAUCAUAUAACAAAAUUUACUCUUUAUCACAUCAUGAACUUUGGGCUCAUAUCUUUAAAUCUCUUAUUUCGAUUUCCAAUUCACACAUCAAUUCACAACUUCACUUUUUCGUUUCUUCCCAUAGCUCAAUCAAUCACAUUUAUUCAAUUUUCUCAUUUCAAUUAUUUACCCCUAUUAACAAGACUCGGACCUUGGCGGAUACACGGAUCCAACCAAACACACCAAAAUGGCACCCAGUGCCUCAUCGGAUAGUUCGAAGCAAUAGUUGACACCCAGUGUCUCAUCGGCCCAGCCGAAGUAAAGUUGGUACCCAGUACCUCAUCGAAUCUAUCCGAAGAAAUAUAGUGACACCCAGUGUCUCAUCGACUCAAGGUCGAAGUAUCCCUGAACUCUUCCAAUCCUAUGGCAUGCCAACUAUAUCCGACUCAGCCCGACUAGUUAAUAGGGUUUCCGAAUCACAUUUCAAUUCAAUCACUUUCUCAUACUUUCAAUUCAAAUCAUUCCCAUUUAAUCACCAUUUGUUUCAAUACAUUUUUCUAUUUCAAAUUCACUUUCGAUUUAAUCGCAAUUCAACUCAGAUUCACUUCCCACUUUCAAAUCAAUAUACAAUUCAAUACCAAUACAUAUUUCAGAUAUUCACAUAUAAUCAUACUUCGAUUCAAUUCAAACCACUUUUCAAUCAAUACACAAUUCACAUAUUCACAUAUCUCAAUUUAAUAUCUCAUUUAUUCAAUUCAUAUUUUAAUUCAUUCAAUUAAAUAUUGAUAUUCUCCUUAUUUUUAUUUACUAACAUAUUAUUCAAAAUUCAAUAAUUACUGUCAAUAAAUUCAAUAUCAAUACGUAUAUAUAUUAUUCAAUUCAAUUAUGAAACUCACCUCAAUUUGCUUAUCGUGUAUAUUAAUUUAAUUUUCAACGAUUAAUAAUUAAAUUCGAAUUAUAGUAAUACUAACCGUAAUUUCUCUCGAGUCACUCCUUGUCCACUUUCUCCUUUCCUUUCUCGGACAAUGACUCGUACACGACAUUAGC